GUCGGCGGCGGCGACCGCGGCAGACUGUGAGGGACGCUGUGCAGCUGCCGACUAGGGGAAACUGUGCGGCACCGGCCACUGGCGCGGAGCGGGCGUGCCAGAGUCUGGAGUCGGUCGAAGCUGGAGCGUGAUACAUUUCAGUCUCACGGUAGCUGACAGUGAGCUGCCCUGCUGUAGCUGCGGCAGGCGCUGUGCCUUGUGCAACGAGCAGCGCUGCCAUAGUCGGCGGCAGUCCUGUGGUAGCCUCGGUCUGCACUGAGCCCCGAGCAGCCAUGUCCGCCAUGGAGACCACGUUCACCGUGCGCACCGACACCGACAACGACGCCAUGCAGGUGCCCGACGGCAUCGAGACGGUCGUCGUCAACGACGACGCCGAGCAGGUGAUCGUGCCGCCGGGCGUCCAGAUCAUCCGCCUGCAGGUGUCCAGCAACCGCGGCGGCCACAGCCAGCCCAGCUCCAGCUCACUCCGCGACCUGCUCGACGAUUACACGCGCGCCGAUCACUCUGCCGGCACCGACACGACGCGCGUCAAACGGUCAACGGCGACGGGCACCGCGCGAGCGCCGGCGAUGGCCGAGAAGUCGCUCUCGCUGCCCAGCUGUCCGCCGACGCCGCCCGGCUCUCGAUCCGCCGGAACCGACGCGCCUGACUUCCGCGCGGCUGUGAGACCUCCUCCGACAGCGGAGACCAUUUCGGAGCCGGUCAGCCCAGUGACCGCCCCGCCGACGAGUCCAGUGACCGCUACUACGGCCAGUCCGGUGACCUCUCCCCCAACCAGUCCGGUGAGCGCCCCUCCGGCCAGCCCGCCGAUGGCCCCGUCAGCACCCGCAGAGGAGGCGCCCCCGACUGACAUUUUCAACGACAGCACGCUGAAGGUUGACCGCGAGCGGAUCAUCAACCAGCAGCCGGCAUCGGCGUCCGUGCCCAACGGUCGUCUGGUGCGGUACGCCGGCGAGACGGAGCCGGAAAUGAGGGACCCGCUGGUCGGUCACGGCUCGACCAAGAUGAGGAAACUCGACUCAUUCGGCUGGAGAGAGGAGUUCGAGAGGGGAGAGAAAGAGAGCAAGCCGACCAUUCAGAAGUUUGGCCGAGCCGUGGCGGACAUUAUGUGCUGCUGGCUCGGAGUGUGAACUGGAGGCUAUAUGUAUAGUCUGGCUCUAACAGGAGUAGGACCAGAGCCAUGCUGCGGGAGCGCUGGUCCCGUCGUUUGUUAUUUAUGGACUUGCAGGCGCGGGGGCGGGGAGGUGACGAUGGACAGUGCAGGAGGGGAGACGAGCAGAGCCAGCGCGGACGGACGGGCGCUCUGUCGCGCCGCGGGCUCCUGCGGUGGGCGGCGCGAUCGCCUGGACCGGGCCGUGACGUCACCGGCGAGGCGCUCCGCUCGCCGUACGAGCUGCUGUUCAGGGCCCUGCCCAGGACGGAAUUUGGACGCAGAGCCUCGUGUGACCUUGCGAUUGGUGCACCUUUCGCAUAGUGAAUGGGCGGUCCGACCGAGGAAUGCAUGCGAUGGAUUCAAUUAUUUUUCGCUAAUAGGUCAAUCUCAUUUUUAUAUAACUCGGCUAAAACGUUGAAAAGUUUUAUUUUUGUAAUAUUUCUUUAAACAGAAGAUACUAUAAAAUGAUGGAUAGGUACCUAUUGUAAUUUUGGUAUGCACGACGUUUGUUACCGCAGUAAGGUUAAAGGUCAAUGCCUAAGAAUUGCAAGGAAGUUAUCUGUCGCUGGCAACCGAUAGACGCUGAACUAUUUCGACUUCAAAACAAUUAUUUAAAAUGGAGCUUUGGCCAAAUUAUGGUUAAAUAAAAUUGAAUCGAAAUUGGCCUCCCACCCCACACGAUCAGUUGUUUAGGAUCGUCAUUGCCAGCAUUUGCCCCGCUCCACUUUAAACGUUUUGCUGAUCAUUGAAAUAUGUGCGCUUUUCGGUGCAAAAUUCAAGGGUUGUAGGUACGAUCUACCGCUCACUCGGCCCGUAACUUACCCAAUGAUCGUCCUGUCAAUUUCUGUCGUCGCCUGGGUCUUGUGUCAUGUGCAUACAAACAGUUUUCUGCGUUUUUUUUUGACGUUAUAGGCUGAUCGUAUCGGUAUUACCUAUUUGACUCGAGCGCUGCAUCAUUCAUUGUUGCUGAUUACGUCCUUAGGCUAAGAAUACCUAGGCCCGUUUAAGGGUUAGCAAUGUGUCUUUAACUGGACCACCUUUGUAGAUCGUGUGGUGUUAACUAUUCUUAACUUCCAUGUGCGUUGACCGACGACCGUUGUCCGUAAUAUGUGCUCGCAAUGGGCGAUAAUGUUGGCACAAAAUGAUUAACGCUUCUGAAUGUCACAAAUGGUUCCGACACCAAAACGGCAGUCUUGAUGAGUGUACACAGUGUGAAUGAAGCAAAACAACCCAAAGUUCGAACCCAGCCUCAUUGUUGUAAUGUACUGGCAUGCCUAUUGCCUAUAGCAGUAGCGGCGGAACACCUCCCCCGUUCCGUCGCCUAUGGCCUAUAGCUACGUUGUACAGUUGACUGCAAAAUGAUGUCCCACUUUCCACAGGCAAUCAGUUGCCUGGAGUGAUAGGCUGUACCGCAUCACACGGGCUGCGUGACACAGUUUGAUGCUGUGACCCAACGCUCACCAUUUAUACGCUGAACUGCAAAAUAAGCGGAACAACUUAGCGUUCAAGUAAACUGAUGGCUUCUGAAGAGUGGAACAUCAUUCUGUAGUCAACUUUGCAAUGUUCACUUCACUCAGUUGAGCUAAACGCGACGCCACAGACCGUUAUGAUGAGUUCAUAGGUUUGUGUUCGGUUUAGAAAUGAAGGCAUUUGUGUUUUCCUUUGUCGGGCUGCCUUUACACAGCUUUGUCGAUUACUUUGUAUUCGUAUGCAAUAUGUAGGUAUGUCUGCUGUGCUGCGACUUUUUAACGCUUUAUCUCGCUUUUCGGGUAGAUUUUUCAGGAAACGUCUCAUAUCGCUCGUGACGCGGACUCGUGAUCGGCAUGAUUCGUUCGUAAUGUGUUUAUUUUUUAAAGGAAAAUAAAAAUAAUUGAAUUUG
rnacentral:misc_RNA from 1 species